rnacentral:misc_RNA from 1 species
GAUUCCGCAAUUUCUGUACU